rnacentral:lncRNA from 1 species
GUGCAGACGAAAUGCAGACACUGAUAAAACCAUUAUAAUAAUGGUAAAAAUAAGAUAUUUCAAGGUAGAUAGUACUAUGGAGUGCAAUUUCUCUCUAAAGUUUGUGGAUUGUGAUAAACUCAUUUGAUGAACCUCUUGCCAAACACUGAAACAGUGAAACACAGGCAGUACAUACAUGUGUACCAAAUGUUUGCUAUUUUUUCUGAGAAUGGUCUUAAACCAUCAGUAGCUCUAGAUCUUCACAUCAAUAUUGUAUUUCAAUUAAAUGAAGAAGAAAAAACAAUUCAAAUUGUGCACGUCGCAUGUUAUGCCAACAAAAAGUUUUCAUCCGGAUAUUGACCACAUCAAGGAUUCUGGACUCAAGUCGUUACCUUACAGAACUAGCCUUAAACUAGCAAGUAGUGGACCGAGG